rnacentral:lncRNA from 1 species
UGACAAUGGUGGUUGGAGCAUUCUGGAUCUUAAUAAAGGUCUUGGAACAAUGUUAGCUGAAAUAUAAUGCAAAAAACAAUCAAGAUUGGAAUGCUUGUUCGAUGUUGUUACCUAGUUUGCUGCUUCUUGAUUAUGCACUACUUGUGUUGCAGCAAGGUUUUCCUCAGUCCUCCCAGCUUCAUCAGGAGUUGUAUUAUUGUUGGUUUGAGGGGUAUGCUGCACAAUUUAAAAGUGGGCAGGCAAGAGAUUAGCAACAUAUGUAUAUAUAUUUUAAAUCACAUCCAAUUAUUGUUGAUACCUGGUUCCUAGUUUCUUGGCUAUGCAGUACUGGCCUUGCUUCAAUGUUAUCCUCGCUGGUCCCAGCAUCAACUUCAGUUGUAUUAUUUUUUUUUGCCGGUGUACGCUGCUGAUUUUAAAAGAGGGGAGGCUAGAUAUAAGUGAGAUUAUGCAAAUUUAUAACACAACAGAAAUAAACAUGCACAAAUCAUGUUCUGGUUACCUCUCCCAGUAAAGCCUGACGAUAAGGCACCAUCAUUGUUUCAACUUCCCCCAUCAAUUCUUGUCUAAGCGCGGCUUUAAGUUGUUCUCUCUCUGCUUCCUUUUCAGCUUCAUGCUUCUGCAUUUUUUCAUGUAACUAGCGUUCCUGUUCUUCGAGCCUCU